rnacentral:rRNA from 1 species
GACGAACGCUGGCGGCGUGCUUAACACAUGCAAGUCGAGCGGUAAGGCCCUUUCGGGGGUACACGAGCGGCGAACGGGUGAGUAACACGUGGGUGACCUGCCCUCAGCUCUGGGAUAAGCCCUGGGAAACCGGGUCUAAUACUGGGAUAUGACUCCAUGACGCAUGUUGUGGGGUGGAAAGCCUUGUGCGGCUGAGGAUGGGCCCGCGGCCUAUCAGCUUGUUGGUGGGGUGANGGCCUACCAAGGCGACGACGGGUAGCCGGCCUGAGAGGCGACCGGCCACACUGGGACUGAGACACGGCCCAGACUCCUACGGGAGGCAGCAGUGGGGAAUCUUGCGCAAUGGGCGAAAGACCUGACGCAGCGACGCCGCGUGAGGGA